UUGUAAAAUACAAAAUGAUUUCAUGAUAAAUUAAAUAAAAUGCUUCGCUGGGCGCAGCUUGAUACGACCGCAGAGGUUGAACCCUGAACAGUUGGGGCAAGUAUGGACACAACAUUUAAGCUUGAUACAGCUCUGAAUUUGGAUUGUGAUUAAAUAUUUGACACAGCAUAGGUUUCUGACACAGAAAGAAUGUGGUCUAAGAACUUCAAUUUUUUUAAUUUACCUAUUAUGGUCCAAUGUCCAAAAUCAAAAUACAUGGUUAGAUUCAGCAUAUCAAAGAACCCCAUAUAUUCAAUUUUUGUUAAAAUCAAACUAAGUUUAAUUUUGGACCCCAACUUGGACAAACUUGAAAACUGGGCCCAUAAUCAAAAAUCUAAACACAUGUUUAGAUUCAGCAUAUCAAAGUACCCCAAGAAUUUAUUUUUUGUUAAAAUCAAACUAAGUUUAAUUUUGGACCCUUUGGACCUUAAUGUAGACCAAUUUAAAAAAAACGGGACCCAAAAUUAAAAAUCUAAAAACACGGUUAGAUUUGGCAUAUCAAAGAACCCCAAUAAUUCAAUUUUUGAUGAAAUCAAACAAAGUUUGAUUUUGGACCCUUUUGACCUCAAUAUGAACCAAUUUGAUAGCGGGCCCACAAAUAAAAAAUCUAAAUACAAGGUAAGUUUCAGCAUAUCAAAGAACCCCAUAUAUUCAAUUUUUGUUGAUAUCAAACAAAGUUUAAUUUUGGACCCAAAUUUGGACCAACUUGAAAACUUGGCCAAAAAUCUAAAAUCUAAAUACAUGUUUAGAUUCAGCAUAUCAAAGAACCCCAUAUAUUCAAUUUUUGUUGAAAUCAAACAAAGUUUAAUUUUGUUGGACCCCAACUUGGACCAACUUGAAAACUGGGCUCAUAAUCAAAAAUCUAAACACAUGUUUAGAUUCAGCAUAUCAAAGAACCCCAAAAAUUCAAUUUUUGUUAAAAUCAAACUAAGUUUAAUUUUGGACCCUUUGGACCUUAAUGUAGACCAAUUUAAAAAACGGGACCCAAAAUUAAAAAUCUAAAUACACAGUUAGAUUUGGCAUAUCAAAGAACCCCAAUAAUUAAAUUUUUGAUGAAAUCAAACAAAGUUUAAUUUUGGACCCUUUUGACCUCAAUAUGAACCAAUUUGAUAGCGGGCCCACAAAUAAAAAAUCUAAAUACAUGGUAAGAUUCAGCAUAUCAAAGAACCCCAUAUAUUCAAUUUUUGUUGAAAUCAAACAAAGUUUAAUUUUGGACCCCAGUUUGGACCAACUUGAAAACUGGGCCAAAAAUCUAAAAUCUAAUUACAUGUUUAGAUUCAGCAUAUCAAAGAACCCCAUAUAUUCAAUUUUUGUUGAAAUCAAACAAAGUUUAAUUUUGGACCCCAACUUGGACCAACUUGAAAACUAGGCCCAUAAUCAAAAAUCUAAACACAUGUUUAAAUUCAGCAUAUCAAAGAACCCCAAGAAUUCAAUUUUUGUUAGAAUCAAACUAAGUUUAAUUUUGGACCCUUUGGACCUUAAUGUAGACCAAUUUAAAAAACGGGACCCAAAAUUAAAAAUCUAAAUACACGGUUAGAUUUGGAAUAUCAAAGAACCCCAAUAAUUCAAUUUUAGAUGAAAUCAAAGAAAGUUUAAUUUUAGACCCUUUUGACCUCAAUAUGAACCAAUUUGAUAGCCGGGCCCACAAAUAAAAAAUCUAAAUACAUGGUUAGAUUCAGCAUAUCAAAGAACCCCAAGAAUUCAAUUUUUGUUAAAAUCAAACUAAGUUUAAUUUUGGACCCUUUGGACCUUAAUGUAGACCAAUUUAAAAAACAGGACCCAAAAUUAAAAAUCUAAAUACACGGUUAGAUUUGGAAUAUCAAAGAACCCCAAUAAUUCAAUUUUUGAUGAAAUCAAACAAAGUUUAAUUUUGGACCCUUUUGACCUCAAUAUGAACCAAUUUGAUAACAGGGUCCACAAAUAAAAAAUCUAAAUACAUGGUUAGAUUCAGCAUAUCAAAGAACCCCAUAUAUUCAAUUUUUGUUGAAAUCAAACAAAGUUUAAUUUUGGACCCCAAUUUGGACCAACUUGAAAACUGGGCCAAAAAUCAAAAAUCUAAAUACAUGUUUAGAUUCAGCAUAUCAAAGAACCUCAUAUAUUCAAUUUUUGCUAAAAUCAAACAAAGUUUAAUUUUGGACCCUUUGGACCUUAAUGUAGACCAAUUUGAAAACUGGACCCAAAAUUAAAAAUCUAAAUACACUGUUAGAUUCGGCAUAACAAAUAAAUAAAUGUGAUCAAAGAUUUUACAAAUCUAAUGCACCAUACUGUGCAAUUAAAGAUUACUUCUUGAAAUUUUUCAAUACAUGUAUUUGAAAUUUGAAAAAAAAAUAAUAUUUGAAGAAUAAUUCUUUUUAAUUUCUGAAAUCUGAAAUGAGAAAAAAUUGACCCCCCACAAUUUCUUUUUAUCCCCCCCCUUUUUUCCCCCAAAAAAUUCUUUCCCUCAAGAUAUGGUCAUAAUCUCAAUUCAAAUUUCCAAUGGAGUUGGCAACCAUAAUUACCCAUUUAAAUUUACCAUAGUGCUAACUUAAUCUAUUUUAUAAUAGAAUUAAAAAUAUAGUGUCAAAUCUUUCAUAUUGAUUUUUUUGUAAAAAAAAAAGAUGCAACAUUUGCAGAUAUUUUACUGGUCUUCCUUUAUAAAUAUGCAUUUCUUUAAACAUAAUUUAAAAGCAGUGUAAGGGAAGUAACCAAAACGUUGUAUUUGGAUUACCUCCCUUACACUGUUUUAAAUUAUCUUUAUUGUUCAUUAACCAUUACUUUAUACAUAAUUUAAAAGCAGUGUAAGGGAGAUAAUUUCAAUGAUGUAUUUGAUUUAUCUCCCUUACACUGCUUUAAAUUAUGUUUUGUACUAAAGUAUUUGUCCAUUAACCAGGACAACCUUGUUUUUCCCCCUUUUUUGCCCCUAAUUCCUAAACAGUUUGAGCCAUAACCCCCAAAGCAAAUACUAACCAUCCCUUUGUGGUAUGGAAACUUGUAGUAUAAUUUCAGAGAGAUCCAUACACCGUUCCACAGUUAUUGUCUGGAAACUAGAAAAUGCUUAUUUUUGGCCCCUUUUUGGCCCCUAAUUCCUUAACUGUUGGUACCAUAACCCCCAAAAUCAAUCCCAACCUUCCUUUUGUGGUAUUUAACCUUAUGGUCAAAUUUCAAAAAGAUCCAUUCACUUAAACUAAAGUUAGAGUGCGAAAACCAAUGUGUCUUUGGACGACGACGACAACGACAACGACGACGCCAACAUCAUACCAAUAUACGACCACAAAAUUUUUUGGCGGUCGUAUAAAAACCAACAAUACUGGUACAAUACUAGAUUAAAAUUUAGUACAGUAUAGUUUUAUUCAGGCAAAUUCAAGCACAUAUUUUAAAAUUCACAAGACAAAACAAGAAAAAUAAUAUAUAUAUAUAUAUAUACUUUUAAAAUAGUAUCAUAAUAUAUUUUAAUAAAUUGCUUCGUUGAGCGCAGCUGGAUACGACCGCAGAUGUCCAACCCUAAAAAGUUGGGGCAAAAAUGGACACAAUAUUCACGCUUGAUACAGGUCUGAAUUUGGAUUGUAACUAAAUUUUUGACACAUAAUAGGUUUCUGACACAGAAUAACUGUAGUCAAAGAACUUCAAAUUGGGUUAUAUGAUUUGAAUUUAUAUUCAAUUUUUUGCUUUUGUGCAAUACACUAUGCUGUUGUGAAUUGACCCCAUCCCCCCUCAAAAAAAAAAAUUUUACCCCGGUUUUUUGCUUUUGUGCAAUACACUAUGCUGUUGAAUAUUAACCCCCAAAAAAAAAUAUUUAAAGAAAUUUUCUUUUAAUUUCUGAAAUUUUAAAUGAGAAAAAUUGUCCCCCCUCCAAUUUUUUUCACCUCCCCCCUUUCCCUUAUUCCCAAAAAAAAUCUUUCCCUCAAGAUAUGGUCAGUAUCUCAAUUCAAAUUUCUAAUGGAGUUUGCAACCAUAAUUACCCAUUUAAAUACAUCAUAAAAGUUUUAAAAUAUAAAAUGACAUACAUAGUCAUGGCUAAAAUUAAUAUUAAUUAAUAGUAACUGCUAAAAAUAAAUUGACAGCUAAUCACCUCAAGACAAUCAUCAUUUCUUAAUACAUAAUUUACAAGCAGUGUAAGGGAGGUAAUCAAACAGUGUUCUUUUAAUUGAUUUGGAUUACCUCCCUUACACUGCUUUUAAAUUGUCUCAAUUGUCCUUUAACAAGAAAACCCUUGUUUUUCCCCUUUUUUUGCCCCUAAUUACUUAUUGGUUUGAGCCAUAACCCCCCAAAGUCAAUCCUAACCAUCCCUUUGAAGUAUGGAAACUUGUGGUAUAAUUUCAGAGAGAUUCAUACACUUUAACACAAGUUAUUGUCUGGAAACUACAAAAAUGCUUAUUUGGGCCCCUUUUUGGCCCCUAAUUCCUAAACAGUUGGGACCAUAACCCCCAAAAUCAAUCCCAACCUUCCUUUAGUGGUUAUAAACCUUGUGUUAAAAUUUUAUUGAUUUCUUUUUACUUAUACUAAAGUUAUUAUCCGGAAACCAUCUGUCUUUGGACGACCCUGACGACGAUGACAACAUGAUACCAAUAUACGACCAAAAAAUUUUUAAUUUUUGCGGUCGUAUAAAA